rnacentral:rRNA from 1 species
CGGGACACGUGGUAUCCUGUCUGAAUAUGGGGGGACCAUCCUCCAAGGCUAAAUACUCCUGACUGACCGAUAGUGAACCAGUACCGUGAGGGAAAGGCGAAAAGAACCCCGGCGAGGGGAGUGAAAAAGAACCUGAAACCGUGUACGUACAAGCAGUGGGAGCCUCUUAAUGGGGUGACUGCGUACCUUUUGUAUAAUGGGUCAGCGACUUAUAUUCUGUAGCAAGGUUAACCGAAUAGGGGAGCCGAAGGGAAACCGAGUCUUAACUGGGCGUUAAGUUGCAGGGUAUAGACCCGAAACCCGGUGAUCUAGCCAUGGGCAGGUUGAAGGUUGGGUAACACUAACUGGAGGACCGAACCGACUAAUGUUGAAAAAUUAGCGGAUGACUUGUGGCUGGGGGUGAAAGGCCAAUCAAACCGGGAGAUAGCUGGUUCUCCCC